ensembl:lncRNA
CAUCCGUCGAAGGACGCAUGGUGUGUGGAACAAGCGUACAUAGGCCUACCUGAUCGCGUUCAUUUGUUCGCCUCCCUCCACCUCCCUCUCUCUCCGGUGCAUAUUUAAGCCACUUCUUCAGUGUCCCUGAAAAAACAAUAUGGGUGGUCCCUGGCAGCUGUUUUUGGAGUGCAGCUGAAAGAAAGAAAGAAACAAACAAACCCGGUCAAGAAUUACCAACAUGGCGACGAGGCAGCUUGAUGGACGAAGCGGCAGCUUCUGGUGCUACCGGCCUCAACAUCUCUCUCCUAAGCGCCCUCACUUCACUCCCCAGGGUCUUCAGCCUCUGACUGUAUGUCUGAUGUUAAACACACUAACCAAGACCCUCACGUCACCGUGCACGUCCCACGCUGCACCUGGAGGAAGGUGGUGCGCGACUGCCUUCUGGAGGCGGUUAUGAUCGUAAGAACUAGGAGGCCAGAAACAAUUCCAUGACUCCCCUGCCUCCUCCAACCAGCUGCUUGGCACUAUGAAGACAAGGAAUUAGGAUUGGUGAAGAAGAGGGAUGGCAACAUAAUGGUUUUGGUCUGGAAAAAGCACACAUUUUCUGCUGACAUCCCCAAGGAGCUCAACCUCAAGAUCAUCUACCAACGUAUGGACCUGAAAACAGCCUAUUCGAGAGGAGGGGCAGGGAUAUGUGAAAUGGGAUUCCUUGUACUCAAAUCGUCUGUAGAUGAUGAAGACUGAACCAGAGGAUAGCACAAUGUUUUGGACCAGUCCAAUAUCCUGUCCUACUGCUAUGCAGUUGUUCCCG